GCUAUAUACAGUAGAGGCUAUAUACAGUAGAGAGGCUAUAUACAGUAGAGAGGCUAUAUACAGUAGAGAGGCUACAUACAGUAGAGAGGCUACAUACAGUAGAGAGGCUAUAUACAGUAGAGAGGCUAUAUACAGUAGAGAGGCUAUAUACAGUAGAGAGGCUAUAGACAGUAGAGAGGCUACAGACAGUAGAGAGGCUACAUACAGUAGAGAGGCUACAUACAGUAGAGAGGUUAUAUACAGUAGAGAGGAUAUAUACAGUAGAGAGGCUAUAUACAGUAGAGAGGCUAUAUACAGUAGAGAGGCUAUAUACAGUAGAGAGGCUAUAUACAGUAGAGAGGAUAUAUACAGUAGAGAGGCUAUAUACAGUAGAGAGGCUAUAUACAGUAGAGAGGCUAUAUACAGUAGAGAGGAUAUAUACAGUAGAGAGGUUAUAUACAGUAGAGGUUAUAUACAGUAGAGAGGAUAUAUACAGUAGAGAGGCUAUAUACAGUAGAGAGGCUAUAUACAGUAGAGAGGUUAUAUACAGUAGAGAGGCUAUAUACAGUAGCGAGGCUACAUACAGUAGAGGCUAUAUACAGUAGAGAGGCUAUAUACAGUAGAGAGGCUAUAUACAGUAGAGAGGCUAUAUACAGUAGAGAGGCUAUAUACAGUAGAGAAGCUAUAUACAGUAGAGAG
rnacentral:lncRNA from 1 species